rnacentral:lncRNA from 1 species
AAGAACUGGCUCUGUGCUGGUCUAAUGAGCAGUGAGAACACUGGAGGCAUAUUUUUGUUGCUUCUAUUUUCUCACUACUUCCCCUUCCCCCAGUCUCACAAAUUUCCCCUUUGGACUUAAAUGACUCCAGAAUCUUGGAAUUUACUAAAAAGGCGAACCACCAAUUGGUCUUUGCUGUUCAAGAAAAAUUCAUCACUGACUCACCUCCCUCCCAGUUCUUGGCUCUCCACGGCUGUGUGAAGAGUAGAUCAACGGGUGGGGCCUUGUGUCACAAAUCACGGCUGCUCCUAGGGGUCCAGGGUUGGGGGAGCACUCCAACCUGUACAGAUGCACCUGUGAUCUCUACAGAAGAGAAGUCUCAUCUUUGCCCCCGAGGAGAAAAGAGCCCAGGACUUGGAGUGCCUUCGCUGAAUAGGUAGGAACUUUCCAGUUUGCAUCCUCUGUGAAAAGCAAUUAGGACCAGCUCCAGAAGGGAUCUGAUAGAAUCAGAAGGAAGAAGUCAGAAGCCACAGUCAAGAACGCAAACAGAAUUGGUAUAUUUGAAGGAAUCAGUCUCCCUUGUGCUGGGAGGCCUUCACAGUGUCAUCUGUGGGUUGUACACACAUUCUACAAUGACUUCCCAUGAUAAACAUAAAACUCUCGGGGAAAACGUUGUGAUCUUAGUGCAAGAGGAUAUCAUUAAACACAACAUGGAAAAAAUCCUGUUAGGAGAGCCAUGGCUGAGAAAAUCUGUAUGUGUGUUCUAGCAUGGAGUUUCACCAUGUAUGAGCUCCAGACCUUGGGGGCACUUGGACUGAUUACAAGGGUCCUAGCAUUUGGAAAUGAUUUAAUGAAUAACCAUCUGACACAUAUGUGUUCUAUUUUCCACAAGAAUGUAGAUACUGAAAUGAUUAUUAAAAUAUUAAUUUAAAUGCAA